rnacentral:rRNA from 1 species
GAUGAACGCUGGCGGCGUGCUUAACACAUGCAAGUCGAACGGAAAGGCUCCUGCUUGCAGGGGUACUCGAGUGGCGAACGGGUGAGUAACACGUGGGUGAUCUGCCCUGCACUUCGGGAUAAGCCUGGGAAACUGGGUCUACUACCGGAUAGGACCACAUUUUGGAUGGUGUGGUGGAAAGUUUUUCGGUGUGGGAUGAGCUCGCGGCCUAUCAGCUUGUUGGUGGGGUAAUGGCCUACCAAGGCGUCGACGGGGAGCCGGCCUGAGAGGGUGUACGGACACAUUGGAACUGAGAUACAGCCCAGACUCCUACGGGAGGCAGCAGUGGGGAAUAUUGCACAAUGGGCGCAAGCCUGAUGCAGCGACGCCGCGUGGGGGAUGACGGCCUUCGGGUUGUAAACUCCUUUCGCUAGGGACGAAGCGUUUUUGUGACGGUACCUGGAGAAGAAGCACCGGCUAACUACGUG